GAAUUUGACGGGGGCCCGCACAAGCAGUGGAUUAUGUGGUUUAAUUCGAAGCAACGCGAAGAACCUUACCAGGUCUUGACAUCGUGCGCAUAGUAUAGAGAUAUAUGAAGCCCUUCGGGGCGCAUAGACAGGUGGUGCAUGGUUGUCGUCAGCUCGUGUCGUGAGAUGUUGGGUUAAGUCCCGCAACGAGCGCAACCCUUACGAUUAGUUGCUACGCAAGAGCACUCUAAUAGGACUGCCGUUGACAAAACGGAGGAAGGUGGGGAUGACGUCAAAUCAUCAUGCCCCUUAUGACCUGGGCUACACACGUAAUACAAUGGCGUUAAACAGAGGGAAGCGAAACCGCGAGGUGGAGCGAAUCCUCAAAGGCGUCUCAGUUCAGAUUGCAGGCUGCAACUCGCCUGCAUGAAGUCGGAAUUGCUAGUAAUCGCGGAUCAGCAUGCCGCGGUGAAUACGUUCCCGGGCCUUGUACACACCGCCCGUCACACCAUGGGAGUCGGUAACACCCGAAGUCAGUAGCCUAACCGCAAGGAGGGCGCUGCCGAAGGUGGGAUUGAUGACU
rnacentral:rRNA from 1 species